UACGUAGGGCGCAAGCGUUGUCCGGAAUUAUUGGGCGUAAAGAGCUCGUAGGCGGCUUGUCACGUCGGAUGUGAAAGCCCGGGGCUUAACCCCGGGUCUGCAUUCGAUACGGGCAGGCUAGAGUUCGGUAGGGGAGAUCGGAAUUCCUGGUGUAGCGGUGAAAUGCGCAGAUAUCAGGAGGAACACCGGUGGCGAAGGCGGAUCUCUGGGCCGUAACUGACGCUGAGGAGCGAAAGCCAGGGGAGCAAACGGG
rnacentral:rRNA from 1 species